rnacentral:rRNA from 1 species
ACUACGGGCGGCAGCAGUGAGGAAUAUUGGUCAAUGGGCUUAAGCCUGAACCAGCCAAGUCGCGUGAGUGAAGACUGCCCUAUGGGUUGUAAACCUCUUUUGUCAGGGAGCAAUUGGCGCUACGUGUAGCGUUAUCGAGAGUAACUGCAGAAACAGCAUCGGCUAACUCCGUGCCAGCAGCGGCGGUCAUACGGGGGAUGCGAGAGGUAUCCGGUUUUAUUGGGUUUAAAGGGUGCGUAGGCGGAAUGCCAAGUCAGCGGGAAACUCGCGGGGCUCAACCUCGCUCCGCCGUUGAGACGGGCGUUCUUGAGUGGGCGAGAGGUAUGCGGAAUGCGUGGUGUAGCGGUGAAAUGCAUAGAUAUCAGGCAGAACUC